GACGAACGCUGGCGGCGUGCUUAACACAUGCAAGUCGAACGGAAAGGCCCUACUCUUGUGGGGUGCUCGAGUGGCGAACGGGUGAGUAACACGUGAGUAACCUGCCCUUGACUUUGGGAUAACUCCAGGAAACUGGGGCUAAUACCGGAUAGGAGCUCCUGCUGCAUGGGGGGGGAUGGAAAGUUUCGGCGGUGGGGGAUGGACUCGCGGCUUAUCAGCUGGUUGGUGGGGUAGUGGCUGACAAGGGCUUUGACGGGUAGCCGGCCUGAGAGGGUGACCGGCCACAUUGGGCCUGAGAUACGGCCCAGUCUCCUACCGUAGGCAGCAGUGGGGAGUCUUGCACAAUGGGCCGACGCCUGAUGCAGCAACGCCGCGUGCGUGAUGCCGUCCUUUGGGUUGUAAACCGCUUUCGCCUGUGGCGAAGCGUGAGUGACGGUAAUGGGUAAAGAAGCCCCGGCUAACUACGUG
rnacentral:rRNA from 1 species